UAAUACGUAGGAGGCGAGCGUUAUCCGGAUUUACUGGGCGUAAAGAGGGCGUAGGUGGUUUUUCAAGUCGGAUGUAAAAUCUCCCGGCUUAACUGGGAGGGACCAUUCGAUACUGUUAAACUAGAGGGCAGCAGAGGGAGGUGGAAUUCCCGGUGUAGUGGUGAAAUGCGUAGAUAUUAGGAAGAACACCGGUGGCGAAGGCGGCUCUCUGGCCUAAAACUGACACUGAGACGCGAAAGCGUGGGGAGCGAACAGGAUUAGAUACCCUGGUAGUCCACGCCGUAAACGAUGGGCAUUAGGUGUAGGAGGUAUCCAAUCCUUCUGUGCCGAAGUUAACGCAUUAAAUGCCCCGCCUGGGGAGUACGACCGCAAGGUUG
rnacentral:rRNA from 1 species